UGUAGUCAUUAGCUUGUCUCAAAGAUUAAGCCAUGCAUGUCUAAGUAUAAGCAAUUUAUACGGUGAAACUGCGAAUGGCUCAUUAAAUCAGUUAUCGUUUAUUUGAUAGUACCUUACUACAUGGAUACCUGUGGUAAUUCUAGAGCUAAUACAUGCUAAAAACCUCGACUUCGGAAGGGGUGUAUUUAUUAGAUAAAAAACCAAUGCCCUUCGGGGCUCCUUGGUGAAUCAUAAUAACUUAACGAAUCGCAUGGCCUUGCGCCGGCGAUGGUUCAUUCAAAUUUCUGCCCUAUCAACUUUCGAUGGUAGGAUAGUGGCCUACCAUGGUGGCAACGGGUAACGGGGAAUUAGGGUUCGAUUCCGGAGAGGGAGCCUGAGAAACGGCUACCACAUCCAAGGAAGGCAGCAGGCGCGCAAAUUACCCAAUCCCGACACGGGGAGGUAGUGACAAUAAAUACUGAUACGGGGCUCUUUUGGGUCUCGUAAUUGGAAUGAGUACAAUCUAAAUCUACAGACCUG
rnacentral:rRNA from 1 species